rnacentral:rRNA from 1 species
AUUGAACGCUGGCGGAAUGCUUUACACAUGCAAGUCGAACGGUAACAGGUUAAGCUGACGAGUGGCGAACGGGUGAGUAAUGCAUCGGAACGUGCCCAGUCGUGGGGGAUAACGCAGCGAAAGCUGUGCUAAUACCGCAUACGAUCUAUGGACGAAAGCGGGGGACCGUAAGGCCUCGCGCGAUUGGAGCGGCCGAUGUCAGAUUAGCUAGUUGGUGGGGUAAAGGCCCACCAAGGCGACGAUCUGUAGCUGGUCUGAGAGGACGACCAGCCACACUGGAACUGAGACACGGUCCAGACUCCUACGGGAGGCAGCAGUGGGGAAUUUUGGACAAUGGGCGCAAGCCUGAUCCAGCAAUGCCGCGUGCAGGAAGAAGGCCUUCGGGUUGUAAACUGCUUUUGUACGGAACGAAAAGGCUCUGGCUAAUACCCGAGGCUCAUGACGGUACCGUAAGAAUAAGCACCGGCUAACUACGUG